AAGCCAUUCACAUGCAAGCGGACACUAACCGGUCCGUAUCUUCGCAGCAGCAUCUCUGCCGAAUCAAACAGUCUUCUCUCGCCGACAAAAAAAACCCUAAUUAUUCUCUCCCCUCCUUCAGUUCUGACUCCAAAACCCGAGCUUUUUUUCGCUUCUGCAAACUCCCUUCCCUUCCCUUCGAAUUCUCUCGUUGUCGUCCGGAAACCCUAGAUUCCUCCUCCUCCUCUUCCAUGGCGAUCCGCUCGUCCCUUUGCUUCUGUAGACGCUAAUUCCUCCAUCAUGGAGUCGAUCCGAUCCAAGGACCGAGCGGUCAUCGAAGCCUUCGCCGAGUUCGAUCCCGCGAAGUCCGCCGGCUUCCCUCCGUCCGUACCUCUCACGAUCCGGUGCGUCUCUGUCUUCGCUGCAUCGGAUUCCCAAACCCUAGUCUAUAUCGGCACAGGUGGUGGAAAGAUCAUCUUGGUCUUGUUGAAUCCAUCAUCAACUCUUAGUUCAGCUCCCAAUCCAGCAACGGUAAAUGGAAACGGGAAGGAUUCCCCGGGUUCUGGUGUUGAUUCGACGGAAGCUGUGGAAUUUCUGAAAGCCGUGUCAGUCAGCAAUCGUUUGAUCGAAUCUAUUCACGUUCUGUCGGAGAUUGGUAAAGUUCUUGUGCUCUCUGAUGGGUUUUUGUUCUUGUUGGAUCUUUUUCUCGCGCAACCCGUGCGGAAGCUGGGUUUUAUCAAGGACGUGACGGCUGUCUCUAAGAGAAUUCCGUGCCCGGAGUCAUCUAGUUCGGAUCCCUUGGGUGAUGGAGUUCCGAAAGGUGAGAUCUUGAGGACAGGGCAGAAAUUUUUUCAGAAGUUAGGUGGAGGCAUUAGGGCAAAUGGGAUAGGGUCUAGGAUUUCCGAACCCCAUAGAGGAGGUGCGAACAGUUGCAUUAUAGCAGUGGCAGCAGGGAAAAGAUUGGUUUUGAUCGAGUUCUUCUUACCUGGAAGCGGUGAUGUGGACUCUGAUAGUGGUGGUGUUUCGGUACUUCAGAAGGAAAUUCUGGGCAUUGAUGGAGUCAGGACCAUGGCAUGGCUCGGGGAUUCGAUAAUUGUUGGCACUUCAGAUGGUUACAUACUAUUCUCCACCAGUGCUGGGAAAAGCACUCCAAUCUUUAUGCUUCCAGAUUCUUCAGGCCCCCCUCGUUUAAAAUCUCUAUGGAGAAGCAAAGAGGUGCUGUUGUUGGUGGACAAUGUUGGUGUGGUUGUCGAUAGACUUGGUCAGCCAGUUGGCGGGAGCUUGAUCUUUCAAUACAUCCCAGAGUCCAUUGCAGAGAUGUCUUCUUAUGUGAUUGUGGCAAGGGAUGGUAGGGUGGAUUUGUAUAGAAAGAAAACAGGUGCUAAUGUGCAGUCACUAUCAUUUGCAAAGGAUGGUGUUGGUUCAUGCAUUGUAGCCAUUGAUGAUCGAGGAAGUGGAGAGGUUGUUGUGGUUGCAACGCCUUAUAAGGCUCUUUGUUUCUGUAAAGUCUCUCCAGAAGAACAGAUAAAAAAUUUAUUGAGGAAGAAGAAUUAUAAGGAAGCCAUCUGUUUGAUGGAAGAGUUUGAGUCUGAAGGUGAAAUGACAAAGGAAAUGCUUUCCUUUGUGCAUGCACAAGUGGGCUUCCUGUUGCUUUUCGAUUUGCAUUUUGAAGAUGCAGUAAAUCAUUUCUUGCUUUCAGAAACCAUGCAGCCAUCCGAAAUCUUUCCUUUCAUUAUGCAGGAUCCAAAUCGCUGGUCACAACUGGUUCCAAGAAAUCGCUAUUGGGGAUUGCAUCCUCCUCCAAUGCCUCUUGAACAAGUCAUUGAUGAUGGGCUGGUAGCCAUCCAACGUUCUAUGUUUCUCAGAAAAGCAGGGGUGGAUACUGUUGCAGAUGAGGAUUUUCUUCUAAAUCCACCGAGUAGAGCUGAGCUAUUGGAAUCAGCUAUCAAAAAUAUAAUCAGGUAUUUAUGCAUCUCUCGAGAUAAAGAUUUGAUUCUUCCUGUGAAGGAAGGAGUUGAUACUCUUCUGAUGUACCUCUAUAGAGCGCUAAAUCUUGUUGGUGAUAUGGAGAAGCUUGCGUCAUCCCAAAACAGCUGUGUCGUGGAGGAGUUAGAAUCGUUGUUAGAUGACUCUGGGCAUUUACGGACGCUUGCAUUCUUAUAUGCUAGUAAAGGGAUGUGUUCAAAGGCACUUACCAUCUGGCGUAUAUUGGCAAGAAACUAUUCAACUGGACUAUGGAAAGACCCGGCGGCUUCAGCAGAAUGUGACUCUUUGGAUAUUUCUACAGAUUCAAUCUCCGGUCAGAAAUCUGCUGCUAGUGAAGCAGCAAAGCUGCUUCAGGAGUCAUCUGAUCAAGACCUGGUUCUGGAACAUCUUGGAUGGAUUGCAGAUAUUGAUCAGGAGUUUGCAGUAAUGGUUCUAACAUCUGAGAAAAGGGUUAAUCAGCUUUCACCUGAAAAGGUACUUGCUGCAGUUGAUCCGAAAAAGGUCGAGAUUCAGCAGAGAUAUUUGCAGUGGUUGAUUGAGGAUCAAGACUCGGACGACACUCAAUUUCAUACUUUAUAUGCUGUUUCUCUUGCUAGAUCAGCACUAGAAAUAGUGGAAUUGGACUACAGCAGUGAGGUUAAUGAUGCUAGAAAUCAUCAGGAGGUGAUUUUGGUUUCGGAUGUUGAAAAUGCAAACCAUUGCAGGUAUCCGGUCAGGGAGAGAUUGCAGUUAUUUUUACAGGCUUCAGACUUGUAUGAUCCAGAAGAAGUACUUGAUGUGAUAGAAGGAUCAGAGUUAUGGCUGGAAAAGGCAAUCCUGUACCGGAAGAUGGGGCAAGAGACAAUGGUACUGCAGAUUCUGGCCUUGAAACUGGAGGAUUGUGAAGCUGCUGAACAAUAUUGUGCAGAGAUUGGUAGAAAUGAUGCCUAUAUGCAGUUGCUGGAUAUGUAUUUGGAUCCGCUGGAUGGCAAAGAACCCAUGUUCAAGGCUGCAGUUCGUCUUCUCCAUAAUCACGGGGAAUCUCUAGAUCCACUUCAAGUGCUGGAGAAAUUAUCUCCUGAAAUGCCUCUCCAGCUUGCAGCAGAUAUAAUAUUGAGAAUGUUGAGAGCUCGAGUUCAUCACCAUCGCCAAGGACAGGUACUUCCUGUCUGGCAGUCAGAAUUGGCUCUAGUCCAUAAGAGGAUAAAACCCACAUGAAUUCAGCAUAUUUUUCUUUCAAUGUCGAGAUAAAAGAGAUGAAUAAGGCCUGUUAUCUUUUCCAGUGUAACUGAAGCUGAAAACCCACAACCGUACCAAAACUAUUUAGAAUUGUCUACUGCAUGCCUUUAGCAGCAUAUCCAUUUAGGAUGCACCCACGCCUCUCCUCUGCACCCGGCAGCCUGCCCCAAAAAGGAAAAGCAAAAAAAAAAAAAAAAGAACUCUUGUUGCUCUGUCAUACCUUUAUAUUUGAACAAAAUAAUGUCAGAUGCUUUUCUAGAUGAGACAAUUGCAUAGGUCACUAUCUCCUGGCUGAAGGAAAAAGGGGAAAAAAAUAUGGAAUGCUGACUAUGUGCAUUCUCCCAGACCAGAUGGUCACCAAGUGCCAGGCAAGUAUGUUGGGAAUGAUUCAUGUAUCUUUCAAGGUUUCUUUUCAGAUUUCUCUUACCAACAAAAUGUUCCAUGGUGCAAUCUCUUUAUUAUGAUACAACAGCCAUUUUUUUAAAAGAAAAAAAAAAUCAGAUUACUGGUAUCGGUUAAAAUAUUUAUGCCUUUAGCCACUUGUGUCCGAAUUUUCAUUUGGGUUGCUUUGAGACGGGCUAAUGGGUCUGGUGGAAUGUUUUAUUUAUAAAAUAUGAAUUAAGGUUUUUGGUCUCAUAAUCUCAUUGGAUAUCUGAAAGUUCCCAGUUAAAAGGUAAGUGACAAUGCAGCAUUAGUUUCUUCCUCAUUGCUGGGAAUUUCUGAUAGCAUUUCUUUUCAAUUCUAGUCAUGGCAAUACAUUAAAAUGAUUAGUUUUGUUGAUUCCUGGACAGACUUGCUUGUACAUAUAUCUUGCUCUUUUUAUGCAUUACAGUCCAUGCUUAACUGUUAUAAUACUUGCUAUCUGAUGAAGAAAAUUUUAACAUUCUUUUGGAUGGGCAUGGUAGAUUGUUCAUAAUCUAUCACGUGCAAUAAGACUAGAUGCUCAGUUGGCAAGAUUAGAGGAGAGAUCGAGGCAUGUUCAAAUAAAUGAUGAAAGUAUUUGUGAUUCUUGUCACGCUCGCCUCGGUACCAAGCUCUUUGCAAUGUAUCCAGAUGAUUCAGUUGUUUGUUACAAGUGUUAUCGUCGCCAAGGGGAAUCAACAUCAGCUCGUGGUCGUAACUUCAAGCAAGAUACCGUUUUUAAAGCAGGGUGGCUUGUAAGCAGAUAAUCAGGGGACAUCUUUUGCUUGGUCAAGGUUUCUGUUCAGGUACCUAGUUAUCUUGGGGCCUAAAUCAGAGUCAAAGGUGGCCUACUCCACAUCAACAGAACAUCUUUGGUCGGACUUUACACCAGUUCCUUUCCAGCAUAUGCUAUCACCAGCGAAGCUUCAUUCUGCUAAUUUGAAGAAGGCAUGGUUGCUCAUGCUAUGAUAUUGGAAGAUCUGCAUUUUGAUUUGGUGAUGAGAAUGAUGAUGGAUUUGUUAGGCCAUGCAGCAUCCUAUGAUGGAGUUUCAGCUGUCGUGUUUGCACAGCAAUCGUCAAAAACUAGUUCAAGAUUUACAUGGCAAAUGUUAGAUGCCUAUUUAUAUUGUGGUGCCAUUCCAGUUAUGAAUUUUGGAGGGAGAAUUGUACACAGAACGGUCAACCAACAACAUCAUUCAUAGUUUUCUCAAAAAAGAAUGUCAUGGAUAGUAUAUUAUCAAUGUCAAUCUAUAUCCAUAAUGCUUCUAGAGCAUUUUCAUAUCUUUUAUAUCCAACUCUUCUACUCUCACAUAAUCUAUUAAUGGACACUGUUGAAAGUAUAUGAAACAAUAUUUUCGGUAUAUAGAUGUGACAAUAUUUUUCU